rfam:Sphaeroforma arctica JP610 cont1.8685, whole genome shotgun sequence.
GGGCAUUUAGCUCAGCUGGAUAGAGCACGGUACUUCUAAUACCGUGGCCGGGAGUUCGAAUCUCUCAAUGCCCU